GACCACGACCCCAGGUCAGGUGGGAUUACCCGCUGAAUUUAAGCAUAUCAAUAAGCGGAGGA
rnacentral:rRNA from 1 species